CGAGCCGGCCGGGCGGUCGCGUCGGGAGUGCCCAGCGCACUUCCGCCGAGGAACGUCCGGGCUCCACAGGGCAGGAUGGUGGGUAACACCCACCCGGGGUGACCCGCGGGACAGUGCCACAGAAAGCAGACCGCCGGGCCGUCCUCGGACGGACCCGGUAAGGGUGAAACGGUGGUGUAAGAGACCACCAGCGCCCAGGGUGACCUGGGCGGCUAGGUAAACCCCAUCCGGAGCAAGGUCAAGAGGGGCCGCGGGAUCGCGGCCCUGCGCGGACGAUCGAGGGCGGCCCGCCCGAGUCCGCGGGUAGACCGCACGAGGCCGGUGGUAACACCGGUCCCAGAUGGAUGACCGCCACCCCGGCGGCCGCAAGGCCGCCAGGUGACAGAACCCGGCGUACAGGCCGACUCGUCCG
rnacentral:RNase_P_RNA from 5 species